rnacentral:tRNA from 1 species
UUAAUUGAAACCAAAUUAGAGGUUUAUUAUUGUUAAUAAUAAAAUUGAAUUACUAUUCCAAUUAAA